AGAUGGGUUGAGUCUGAGUAUUUGAGGAGCUGAGACUUCUGCCACAGGGGAAACAACAAGGGCAGUGCUGGAGAGCAGCCUAAGAGAGGGGAGGGAGGGACAGCUGGAGAAGUCAUGAGAGGUGUCAGCUGCAUCAAGACCCUAAAGAGCAAGUGGCGGAGAAACCUGGAGGCAGGUGGAACCAAGCAAAACUGGAGAGAAGAGAUGAAACUUGGAGUGACAUAAAAAGAGGAAGAAUGAUUCUGGAAUACGGGGAUUGUAAAAAUGACUGCAGCCUCAGGAAUGAGAAAACUAGAGUAAUUAUUUGUUUUGUGUUAAUCUUACAGGCAGCAAUAUCUUUGUUCCUGCGUUAAAUGUGAGAGUCUCAAAUCAUCUAUUUCCUACCUUACCCUCUCAGGCUGUCAACUGUAAUACCCAUGCUGAACUCCAACUAGUCAUUUUCCUAGGCUUCUAAGAGACAUCAAUCAUUUCUGAUGGGACAAUUUCUGCAAACUUCCUUGAGUAUUUUCAUACAGUUUCAUUCAAGUACUGAUCACCUCUCCAUCCUCACCAUUUCUCUGAGCCCCAUCAAGAUUGGAUUAUAUUCCUCUUUCCUUGACUAUCUCUAAAGCUUAGCAUCUCUUAUCUGCCUCUUAUCUAAUGCUUUGGGAGAAUUUUCUCCAAAUCUGUUUUACCCAGAAUCCAUUAGAUGUAAUGUUAGCUUGCCUGAUCUCAAAUUUGAAUAUUCAAAUUGAACCUAUUUUCUUUGCUGCUGUUGCCUUUUUUUUUAAAUGAUAUAUGGCAUUUUUAGUGAUAGAUGACUGCAAUUCAAUUAACCUACUGUAUUAGUCCAUUCUCACACUGCUGCAAAGAAAUGCCUGAGACUGGGUAAUUUGUAAAGAAAAGAGGCUUAAUUGGCUCAUGAUUCUGUGGGCUAUACAGGAAGCAUGAUGCUGGCAUCUGCUUGGCUUCUAGGGAGGCCUCAGGAAACUUACAGUCAUGGCGGAAGGUGAAGGGGGAACCACAAUUCACAUCGCCAGAGCAGGAGAGAGAAAGAGAGUGGAGAGGCACCACACACUUUUAAACAUCCAGAUUUCAUGAGGACUAACUGUUGCCACAACAGCACCAAGAGGAGAUGAUGUUAAACCAUGAGAAAUCAUCCCCAUGAUCCAAUCACCUCCCACCAGGCUCCAGCUCCAGCACUGGGGAUUGCAUGUUAACAUGAUAUUUGGGUGGGCACAGAGAUCCAAACCAUAUCAUCUACCAUGAUUUAAAUUUUGCAAGACAUAUCACCUCCAAUAAACUACGUGCUCCUACUUGGCAGAUAACUGGUUUUAUUUUAACUUAUAUUUUAGGUUCAGGGGUAGAAGUGCAGGUUGUUACCUAGGUAAACUUACGUCAUGAGGGUUUGUUGUACAGAUUAUUUCAUUACCCAGGUAUCAAGCCUAGUACCCAUUAGUUGUCCUCCCUGAUUCUCUUUCUCCUCCCACCCUCCAGCCUCCGAAAGAUCCUAGUUUGUGUUAUUCCUUUCUGUGUGUCCAUAUGUUCUCAUCCUUUAACUCCCACUUAUAAGCGUGAACAUGCAGUAUUUGGUUUCCUUUUCUUAUGUUAGUUUCCUAAGGAUAAUGGGCUCCAGCUCCAUCCAUGUUGCUGCAAAGGACACGAUUUCAUUCAUUUUUAUGGCUUUAUGAUAUUUCAUGGUGUAUAUAUACCACAUUUUCUUUAUCUAAUCUAUCAU
ensembl:lncRNA